rnacentral:rRNA from 1 species
AUGAACGCUGGCGGCGUGCCUAAUACCUGCAAGUCGAGCGCGCGGACGAGAAGCUUGCUUCUCUGAUGUUAGCGGCGGACGGGUGAGUAACACGUGGAUAACCUACCUAUAAGACUGGGAUAACUUCGGGAAACCGGAGCUAAUACCGGAUAAUAUUUUGAACCGCAUGGUUCAAAAGUGAAAGACGGUCUUGCUGUCACUUAUAGAUGGAUCCGCGCUGCAUUAGCUAGUUGGUAAGGUAACGGCUUACCAAGGCAACGAUGCAUAGCCGACCUGAGAGGGUGAUCGGCCACACUGGAACUGAGACACGGUCCAGACUCCUACGGGAGGCAGCAGUAGGGAAUCUUCCGCAAUGGGCGAAAGCCUGACGGAGCAACGCCGCGUGAGUGAUGAAGGUCUUCGGAUCGUAAAACUCUGUUAUUAGGGAAGAACAUAUGUGUAAGUAACUGUGCACAUCUUGACGGUACCUAAUCAGAAAGCCACGGCUAACUACGUG